UAUAUGUGUGUGUUAGGAUGAGUGCUGAUCGGGCCACAUUUUUCUGUCCGAGCCCGGCUCGCGUCCAACAGAGCAGUAACCCGAACCCGACCUGAGCCCGACAGGCAUUAAGAUAUUUAUGUCCGAGCCCGACACAGUUAAAAGCUCAUUUUUUUCUCA